rnacentral:rRNA from 1 species
CGAACGCUGGCGGCGUGCUCAACACAUGCAAGUCGAACGGAAAGGCCCCUUUGGGGGUACUCGAGUGGCGAACGGGAGAGUAACACGUGAGUAACCUUCCCUUGACCUCGGGAUAACUUCAGGAAACUGGGGCUAAUACCGGAUAGGAAUCCUUGCUGCAUGGUGGGGGUUGGAAAGCUUCGGCGGUUUUGGAUGGACUCGCGGCUUAUCAGCUUGUUGGUGGGGGAGUGGCUUACCAAGGCCUUGACGGGUAGCCGGCCUGGGAGGGCGACCGGCCACAGUGGGACUGAGAUACGGCCCAGACUCCUACGGGGGGCAGCAGUGGGGAAUAUUGCACAAUGGGCGGAAGCCUGAUGCAGCAACGCCGCGUGCGGGAUGACGGCCUUCGGGUUGUAAACCGCUUUCAGCAGGGGAGAAGCUUGUGGUGACGGUACCUGCAGAAGAAGCACCGGCUAACUACGUG